rnacentral:rRNA from 1 species
UACGUAGGGGGCAAGCGUUGUCCGGAAUUAUUGGGCGUAAAGCGUGCGUAGACGGUUAUUUAAGUCGGAUGUGAAAGCCCCGGGCUCAACCUGGGAAUUGCAUUCGAGACUGAAUAGCUAGGGUGCGGUAGAGGGAAGCGGAAUUUCCGGUGUAGCGGUGAAAUGCGUAGAUAUUGGGAAGAACACCAAUGGCGUAGGCAGAUUACUGGCUCAUUUCUGACGCUAAGGCACGAAAGCGUGGGGAGCGAACCGG